rnacentral:tRNA from 1 species
GCCCCCUUAGCUCAGUGGAUAGAGCGUUUGGUUGCGGACCAAAAGGCCGCGUGUUCGAAUCACGCAGGGGGCGCCA